GCAGUCCCUCUGCUUUGAUUGCUGUGUCCCUUUGGUAGUGAUUUUGGAGGGGAAUCCCAGAGCCAUUUGGUUUGAAGGGGACCUUCAAAGGCCAGCCUGUCUUCCGUGGGCAGGGACACCUUCCACUGUCCCCGGUUGCUCCGAGUCCCGUCCAGCCUGGCCUGGAACACGUGCAGGGAUGGGGCAGGCUCAGCUUCCCUGUGCAGUGUGCUCUAAUAUCUCUCCACUGGCAUCCUGAAAAAUGUUGUCAGCGUGUUUUGUUGGCCGACGGUAAGCAGGACCUGGGUGAAAAGGACAUUCUCUGAGGUGCUGGGAGAAGGAGGACUCGUGCGGGCACCUCCAGAGACAGCGGGAAUGGGAGCGUGCUGCGGAGAAGGAAAAUUCCAGGGGAAUUGCCACGAGAGGAAAUACUUCAGAGGGGCUUCCCUCCAGCUAAGCCCUGAAUAUGCCAGGAGGUUUCAGCCGGGAGGAAAGGAGCUGUGGAAGAAAAGCAGCCUAAAAAUAGCCAGCGGGGAUCAUCAGGUUUUCCAGCCAAGAAGAACAAGGAGAGAGAUGAGGGAAUCGGGUUCCAAUUCCUAAUGAUUUGGUGGGUGCAGGAAUGAUUUGUGUGUGUUUUCCAGUCCCUUUUGAUUCCUGAGAUGAUUUGAAAAUGAUGGCUUUAGCAAUCAACUAAAUCGGAGGUGUUGUUUUUGAGAGGAAAUGAUGCCAAAUAAAUGCAGAGUUUUGGGUCAGUUUUUGGGAUGAUUUGAGUCAGUUUUUGGGGUCAGUUUGGGGUCAUUGUUUGGGGUGAUUUGGGUCAGUUUUGGGUCAGCUUUUGGGGUGAUUGGGGUCAGUUUUGGGUCAGCUUUUGGGAUGAUUUGGGUCAGGUUUUGGGGUCAGUUUUGGGUCAGCUUUUGGGGUGAUUUGGGUCGGUUUGGGGUCAAUUUUUGGGGAGCACUGGGUGUUACUGGGGGUUGUUGGGGAGCACUGGGUGUUUACUGGGGAGCACUGGG